rnacentral:rRNA from 1 species
CAGUAGCCGCGGUAAUACGUAGGUGGCAAGCGUUGUCCGGAAUUAUUGGGCGUAAAGGGCUCGCAGGCGGUUUCUUAAGUCUGAUGUGAAAGCCCCCGGCUCAACCGGGGAGGGUCAUUGGAAACUGGGAAACUUGAGCGCAGAAGAGGAGAGUGGAAUUCCACGUGUAGCGGUGAAAUGCGUAGAGAUGUGGAGGAACACCAGUGGCGAAGGCGACUCUCUGGUCUGUAACUGACGCUGAGGAGCGAAAGCGUGGGGAGCGAACAGGAUUAGAUACCCGCGUAGUCCCUGUCUCUUAUAC